AGGAGGAUUGAGAAGGUUUGGCAGCUGUAAAUGGUGCUGCUAUAACUGGUUACAACCUCCAAAAUUAAAACUCAAAUGCAGCAAUUUAACCUGAUCAUACCAUCAGAGUAUGUGCUGUGUAUGUGUACAGUUA